rnacentral:misc_RNA from 1 species
GAUGAAGAACGUAGCGAAAUGCGAUACGUAAUGUGAAUUGCAGAUUUCAGUGAAUCAUCGAAUCUUUGAACGCACAUUGCGCCCGCUAGUAUUCUGGCGGGCAUGCCUGUUCGAGCGUCAUUUCAACCAUCAAGCCCUAGGCUUGCGUUGGAGCCCUGCGGCUACCGCAGGCUCCCAAAUCCAGUGGCGGGCUCGUCGUCGUACCGAGUGCAGUAAACAUCCUCGCUCAGGGAACGUGACGGGUUCUUGCCGUGAAACCCCCCACAUAUCAAGGUUGACCUCGGAUCAGGUAGGAAUACCCGCUGAACUUAAGCAUAUCAAUAAGCGGAGGA